GAUCUUAAAAGAUAUGUCUGACAUAACUUUUAAAAUCGGUUACAAAAAAACCGAUCUUAAAAGUUGUAUCAGACAUCACUUUUAAGAUC
rnacentral:miRNA from 1 species